rnacentral:lncRNA from 1 species
UAUACAGAUUGUAUAAAGAUUUUUGACUUAAGACAUGUCUAUUUUGCUCUCUGCAGAGAAAGCUGAAUUCUUUGCUGAAGAAAGCUUUUUUCUCUGGAAGUUCUACUGAUGUGACUGAAUACUUCUAGGAAAUCACCAGAGACUGGUUAUUAAUAGAGCAUGGGGGAAAGCUGCUGGGUGUUUGAAACACCUCCAUCAAAUAUGAAGAAGUAAACUGACUUUAAAGCUGGACUUCUGCUGUCCCAGUUAGGUUGCUGCCAAAAAUGAGAUGACACCGCACUGUCUCCUCCCUACCUAGGUUUUGCAACAUGAAACACAGAAGCAUUUAAGCAUCAGAAUAAUGCUUGAAGAUCAUACUUCACAGGGCCACAAGCAUAUUCUGUGGGACCUAUCUGUCCAGAAGGUUCACUGGAUCCCUCUACUACAAAAGAAAGAAUAUCAGUGUGAAUGCUGGAGUUGUCUCUCAAAAGUUGACAAGAGACUAUUUUUGGGAACAAGAAUCAUCUGAAGACGUCUCUUUGCUUACAGUAACCACUACAUCAUGUUAAUAGCACAUCAUUAGGUUAUAUAAUUUGUGUUUCA